rnacentral:rRNA from 1 species
UUAAGGGCGCACGGUGGAUGCCUUGGCACCAGGAACCGAUGAAGGACGUGGGAGGCCACGAUAGUCCCCGGGGAGUCGUCAACCAGGCUUUGAUCCGGGGGUUUCCGAAUGGGGAAACCCGGCAGUCGUCAUGGGCUGUCACCCGCUGCUGAACACAUAGGCAGUGUGGAGGGAACGCGGGGAAGUGAAACAUCUCAGUACCCGCAGGAAGAGAAAACAACCGUGAUUCCGGGAGUAGUGGCGAGCGAAACCGGAUGAGGCCAAACCGUAUGCGUGUGAGACCCGGCAGGGGUUGCGUAUACGGGGUUGUGGGAUCUCUCUUUCACGGUCUGCCGGCUGUGAGACGAGUCAGAAACCGUUGAUGUAGGCGAAGGACAUGCGAAAGGUCCGGCGUAGAGGGUAAGACCCCCGUAGUCGAAACGUCAGCGGCUCGUUUGAGAGACACCCAAGUAGCACGGGGCCCGAGAAAUCCCGUGUGAAUCUGGCGGGACCACCCGCUAAGCCUAAAUAUUCCCUGGUGACCGAUAGCGGAUAGUACCGUGAGGGAAUGGUGAAAAGUACCCCGGGAGGGGAGUGAAAUAGUACCUGAAACCGUGUGCCUACAAGCCGUGGGAGCGUCGGAACAAGGCUUGCCUUGUUCUCGUGACUGCGUGCCUUUUGAAGAAUGAGCCUGCGAGUUUGCGGUGUGUUGCGAGGUUAACCCGGGUGGGGAAGCCGUAGCGAAAGCGAGUCCGAAUAGGGCGCUGUAGUAGCACGCUCAAGACCCGAAGCGGAGUGAUCUAGCCAUGGGCAGGUUGAAGCGGAGGUAAGACUUCGUGGAGGACCGAACCCACCAGGGUUGAAAACCUGGGGGAUGACCUGUGGUUAGGGGUGAAAGGCCAAUCAAACUCCGUGAUAGCUGGUUCUCCCCGAAAUGCAUUUAGGUGCAGCGUCGUGUGUUUCUUGCCGGAGGUAGAGCACUGGAUAGGCGAUGGGCCCUACCGGGUUACUGACCUUAGCCAAACUCCGAAUGCCGGUAAGUGAGAGCGCGGCAGUGAGACUGUGGGGGAUAAGCUCCAUGGUCGAGAGGGAAACAGCCCAGAGCAUCGACUAAGGCCCCUAAGCGUACGCUAAGUGGGAAAGGAUGUGGAGUCGCACAGACAACCAGGAGGUUGGCUUAGAAGCAGCCACCCUUGAAAGAGUGCGUAAUAGCUCACUGGUCUAGUGAUUCCGCGCCGACAAUGUAGCGGGGCUCAAGCGUACCGCCGAAGUCGUGUCAUUCACACAAUAGCCCCAACGGGUGUGUGGAUGGGUAGGGGAGCGUCGUCUGCCGGGUGAAGCAGCCGUGUAAGCGAGUUGUGGACGGUUGACGAGUGAGAAUGCAGGCAUGAGUAGCGAUUCACACGUGAGAAACGUGUGCGCCGAUUGACUAAGGGUUCCUGGGUCAAGCUGAUCUGCCCAGGGUAAGUCGGGACCUAAGGCGAGGCCGACAGGCGUAGUCGAUGGAUAACCGGUUGAUAUUCCGGUACCCGCUGUGAAGCGUCAAACAUCGAGCAUCGUGAUGCUAAGGCCGUGAAGCCGCCCCUGAUCUCUUCGGAGUGAGGGGGAGUGGUGGAGCCGCUGAACCAAGCGGUUAGUAGGUGAGUGAUGGGGUGACGCAGGAAGGUAGUCCAGCCCGGGCGGUGGUUGUCCCGGGGUAAGGGUGUAGCCCGUCAUCUAGGUAAAUCCGGAUGACAUGUGGGUGAGACCUGAUGCCGAGCCGAUUGUGGUGAAGUGGAUGAUCCUAUGCUGUCGAGAAAAGCCUCUAGCGAGUUUCAUGGCGGCCCGUACCCUAAACCGACUCAGGUGGUCAGGUAGAGAAUACCGAGGCGUUCGGGUGAACUAUGGUUAAGGAACUCGGCAAAAUGCCCCCGUAACUUCGGGAGAAGGGGGGCCACAUCUGGUGAUGAGCUUCGCGCUCUGAGCUGGGGGUGGCCGCAGAGACCAGCGAGAAGCGACUGUUUACUAAAAACACAGGUCCGUGCGAAGCCGUAAGGCGAUGUAUACGGACUGACGCCUGCCCGGUGCUGGAACGUUAAGGGGACCGGUUAGCUCCAUUUCGGUGGGGCGAAGCUGAGAACUUAAGCGCCAGUAAACGGCGGUGGUAACUAUAACCAUCCUAAGGUAGCGAAAUUCCUUGUCGGGUAAGUUCCGACCUGCACGAAUGGCGUAACGACUUCUCGACUGUCUCAACCAUAGGCCCGGUGAAAUUGCACUACGAGUAAAGAUGCUCGUUUCGCGCAGCAGGACGGAAAGACCCCGGGACCUUUACUACAGUUUGAUAUUGGUGUUCGGUUCGGCUUGUGUAGGAUAGCUGGGAGACUGUGAAGCGCUAACGCCAGUUAGUGUGGAGUCGUCGUUGAAAUACCAGUCUGGUCGUGCUGGAUGUCUAACCUGGGUCCGUGAUCCGGAUCAGGGACAGUGUCUGAUGGGUAGUUUAACUGGGGCGGUUGCCUCCUAAAGGGUAACGGAGGCGCCCAAAGGUUCCCUCAGCCUGGUUGGCAAUCAGGUGUUGAGUGUAAGUGCACAAGGGAGCUUGACUGUGAGACCGACGGGUCGAGCAGGGACGAAAGUCGGGACUAGUGAUCCGGCGGUGGCUUGUGGAAGCGCCGUCGCUCAACGGAUAAAAGGUACCCCGGGGAUAACAGGCUGAUCUUCCCCAAGAGUCCAUAUCGACGGGAUGGUUUGGCACCUCGAUGUCGGCUCGUCGCAUCCUGGGGCUGGAGUCGGUCCCAAGGGUUGGGCUGUUCGCCCAUUAAAGCGGUACGCGAGCUGGGUUUAGAACGUCGUGAGACAGUUCGGUCCCUAUCCGCUGUGCGCGUAGGAGUCUUGAGAAGGGCUGUCCCUAGUACGAGAGGACCGGGACGGACGAACCUCUGGUGUGCCAGUUGUUCUGCCAAGGGCAUGGCUGGUUGGCUACGUUCGGGAGGGAUAACCGCUGAAAGCAUCUAAGCGGGAAGCCUGCUUCGAGAUGAGGACUCCCACCCACUUGAUGGGGUAAGGCUCCCAGUAGACGACUGGGUUGAUAGGCCGGAUCUGGAAGCACGGUAACGUGUGGAGGUGACCGGUACUAAUAGGCCGAGGGCUUGUCCU